rnacentral:rRNA from 1 species
AACGAUCGCUGGCGGCAGGCUUAACACAUGCAAGUCGAGCGCCUCGCAAGAGGAGCGGCCGACGGGUGAGUACCGCGUGGGAACGUACCCUUAUCUUCGGAAUAGCUCUGGGAAACUGGAAGUAAUACCGAAUGCGCCCUUAGGGGGAAAGAUUUAUCGGAUAAGGAUCGGCCCGCGUUGGAUUAGCUAGUUGGUGGGGUAAAGGCCUACCAAGGCGACGAUCCAUAGCUGGUCUGAGAGGAUGAUCAGCCACAUUGGGACUGAGACACGGCCCAAACUCCUACGGGAGGCAGCAGUGGGGAAUAUUGGACAAUGGGCGCAAGCCUGAUCCAGCCAUGCCGCGUGAGUGAUGAAGGCCUUAGGGUUGUAAAGCUCUUUCACCGGAGAAGAUAAUGACGGUAUCCGGAGAAGAAGCCCCGGCUAACUUCGUG